AUUGAACGCUGGCGGCAGGCCUAACACAUGCAAGUCGAACGAGCGGCGGACGGGUGAGUAAUGUCUGGGAAACUGCCUGAUGGAGGGGGAUAACUACUGGAAACGGUAGCUAAUACCGCAUACUAUCAGAUGUGCCCAGAUGGGAUUAGCUAGUUGGUGGGGUAACGGCUCACCAAGGCGACGAUCCCUAGCUGGUCUGAGAGGAUGAUCAGCCACACGGGGACGGAGACACGGACCAGACUCCUAAGGGAGGAAGCAGUGGGGAAUAUUGCACAAUGGGCGCAAGCCUGAUGCAGCCAUGCAGCGUGUAUGAAGAAGGCCUUAGGGUUGUAAAGUACUUUCAGCGGGGAGGCGUUACCCGCAGAAGAAGCACCGGCUAACUCCGUGCCAGCAGCCGCGGUAAUAC
rnacentral:rRNA from 1 species